CCGGAUUAUGACCCAUAGCUACCACCGCCCCCAUGUAAAGAGUCGCCCGAAUCUGAGCGCGACCUCCCUGAAUCAUCCGACUUACC
rnacentral:rRNA from 1 species